rnacentral:rRNA from 1 species
AUUGAACGCUGGCGGCAGGCUUAACACAUGCAAGUCGAGCGGAGAUGAGGUGCUUGCACCUUAUCUUAGCGGCGGACGGGUGAGUAAUGCUUAGGAAUCUGCCUAUUAGUGGGGGACAACAUUCCGAAAGGAAUGCUAAUACCGCAUACGUCCUACGGGAGAAAGCAGGGGAUCCUCGGACCUUGCGCUAAUAGAUGAGCCUAAGUCGGAUUAGCUAGUUGGUGGGGUAAAGGCCUACCAAGGCGACGAUCUGUAGCGGGUCUGAGAGGAUGAUCCGCCACACUGGGACUGAGACACGGCCCAGACUCCUACGGGAGGCAGCAGUGGGGAAUAUUGGACAAUGGGGGGAACCCUGAUCCAGCCAUGCCGCGUGUGGGAAGAAGGCCUUAUGGUUGUAAAGCACUUUAAGCGAGGAGGAGGCUACUGAGACUAAUACUCUUGGAUAGUGGACGUUACUCGCAGAAUAAGCACCGGCUAACUCUGUGCCAGCAGCCGCCGUAA